rnacentral:rRNA from 1 species
GACAGAGGGGGCAAGCGUUGCUCGGAAUUACUGGGCGUAAAGGGCGCGUAGGCGGGAUGGCAAGUCGGUCGUGAAAUCCCUCGGCUCAACCGAGGAACGUCGAUCGAUACUGCUGUUCUUGAGGAUUGCAGAGGAGACUGGAAUUCCCGGUGUAGCGGUGAAAUGUGUAGAGAUCGGGAGGAACACCGGUGGCGAAGGCGGCUUUCUGGUCUGCUCUUGACGCUGAGGCGCGAAAGCUAGGGUAGCAAACGGG